GGGCCCAUAGCUCAGCUGGUUAGAGCGCUACCUUGACAUGGUAGAGGUCGGCAGUUCGAAUCCGCCUGGGCCCACCA
rnacentral:tRNA from 1 species